GGGGUUGGCGGGGGCAGCUGCAGCAACAUCUGUCACUCCAUUGCUUGUCAGGAUUAUUUAGAUGAUUUGUCUGACUGGGCAGGUGUCCCCUCUCUCCCCCAGUGCUCCAUGUGCAUCCCUCUUGAAGCUUCGCACUCUGUUGAAGAGGACACUCAUCCCAGGUAGAGGGGGGAUGGGAAACUGGGCCGAAUGAAUCCGUCCUUUUCUUUCCAUCAGAUCAGGACACUCACCUGGGAUCCAUUGACUUCCUGAGGU
ensembl:misc_RNA predicted gene, 25082